UUUAAAAUACCUAAUAAAUUUGGCGGUUUUAAUUAUAAUAAGAGUAACUCGUUUUAUAAUCGAUAACCCCCGACUAUCCCCCCUAAUUUAAUACUUGUAUACCGUCGUUUAAGAAAAUAUAAAUAUAUAUUUUUAUAGAAAAAAAUUCAAUAAUCCAGAUCAAGGUGCAGUAAAUAAUCAGGUAAAAAUGAGUUUCAAUAAAAAAAACUUAUAGAUAUAUAAAAAAUAUUUAAAUAAAAAUAAAAAGAGAAUUUUAAAGUAAUUUUUAUAUAAGACAAUAAAAUGAAUAUAAAAUUAAAAAGUACAUAUCGCCCGUCGCUCGCGGGAA
rnacentral:rRNA from 1 species